UCUGUGUAUCACACAGAAGAUUUCAUUUUUUUUCUUGUAUAUAAUUUACUUUUCUGAUGUUGCUAAGAAGUGCGAUUGGUCUGAAGUUGUUUAGCUCACUUUUGUUGCAUUUUUCAAACAGAGCUGUCACAUUUUUAAACUAUCUGGAAAAAUAAGUUCAUGCCAGAUAUAAUUAUUUAGUUAUUUUCCAAUUCUGAUAUCUGAAAAAACCUGACAUAUCUAACGUGUCUCAGUUAUUCUACAAACAUAAUAUCUACUCUCUUUCAGAAACAAGGCAAAAAGGAAGCAUUCAGAUAAAAAACCUUUUCAGGUGUAGAACAUGUCAAUUACAGUAAACAUUACAGAAAUAGUAAAAAAAUCAUGAGGCAAUAUCAUUAAUAUUGGUUAAGAAUAUAAAUGGCCACAGAUGUAUGAAUAACAAGGUUAUCACAGUCAAUAUACUUAAUGUAAUAUUGUUAUAUUGGAUACAGAACACGAACAUAUACAUCUAUAUGUAAGGUUCAAAAGAGAUUAAACUACAUCACAAUGCAGAAUGAUACGACAUGAAAUAUUCAACGCGAACAUCAUCAGUUCAAAUUAUCAUUGAAGAAUUCUUCCAGCGAAUAAUAAGCUUUGGAGAGAAGCAAAGUUUUCAAUGUAUUCUUCAUGAUCACAGAAGACAGAUUUCUGAGAGAUUUAGGUACCUUGUUAUAAAUAUUCAUGAUUGAAAACGGUAUAUUUUUUUUGUAGAUAGGUCAAAUGUGUCUUUAUAUUCAAAAUGUUAUUUUUGUUUCGUGUGUUGUGGGUGUGGUUUCUAUCAUGAGUCGCAAAAAGAGAUACAUUUUCUUUGACAAAUACCACAGAUUCAUAAAUAUAGAGACCUGUUAGUGUUAAUAUUUUUUUAUGUACGAAUAUUUUUUUACAACUUUCUCUCUGAGAAAGGUUGAAUAUUUUUCUGAGAUACCGUGUUUGCAAUACGAAUAUUUUUUAUGUAUGUGCAGACAUUCCCCAGAAUAUAAUGCCAUAUCUGAUGUGACUCUGAAUAUAACCAUUAUAUGCUAACAUCGCAGCCUCAGUGGAUAUAUUAUGUGUAAUUAUUUUCAGGGCAUAGCAGUACCUUGACAUUUCUGUUGCCACUUUAUCUAUGUGGCUCUUCCAGUUCAGCUUUGAGUCAAUUAUAAUUCCAAGAAAGGAAAGUUGGGACACUGGUUCUAAAAUAGUUACACCAACACUAAAAGUAUUAUUUGUGCCGUUUUGGUUUUAAUUUUUCCUGAUCUUUCAAUUCGGAGCAUUUGAGUCUCAUGAUCGGAUAAUGCAGAGGUAAUAACUUCUCCAGGAUGAUCGUUUUCGAAGUUUAUAAAAAUAUUAUCCAGUAGUGAAGAAGAUCUUGAUGUUAUUCUUGUCGGUUCAUUUGUUUGUUUGUGCAGAUUAUAUGUUAAUAAAAGGUGUAGAAAAGACUGA